UUUUUUGAUGGUGGUUCUAGCAAUAUGAACUCUAACCUAAAUCCCAAGAGGUUGGUCUUUAGCUGCUUGGGCAUUUUCCUUGCCUAUUUUGUUUUGUUCGUUGUGGUGUUUAUUUCUUGUUGGUUUUUUAUUUGUAUCCUUUGUAGUCCUUUAGGCACUUCUUGUGCUUUGGGAUUGUUUGUAUUUUGGUGGUUUAAACCUUUCUUAUCAAAUAUUACUUUAAU
rnacentral:lncRNA from 1 species